CCUACGGGAGGCAGCAGUGGGGGAUAUUGCACAAUGGGGGGAACCCUGAUGCAGCGACGCCGCGUGGGUGAAGAAGCAUUUCGGUGUGUAAAGCCCUGUCAGCAGGGAAGAAAAUGACGGUACCUGACUAAGAAGCCCCGGCUAACUACGUGCCAGCAGCCGCGGUAAUACGUAGGGGACAAGCGUUAUCCGGAUUUACUGGGUGUAAAGGGGGCGCAGACGGCGAUGCAAGCCUGGAGUGAAAGGCCGGGGCCCAACCCCGGGACUGCACUUGAAACUGUGGAGCUGGAGUGCAGGAGGGGCAGGCGGAAUUCCUGGUGUAGCGGUGAAAUGCGUAGAUAUCAGGAGGAACACCAGUGGCGAAGGCGGCCUGCUGGACUGCAACUGACGUUGAGGCCCGAAAGCGUGGGGAGCAAACAGGAUUAGAUACCCUAGUAGUC
rnacentral:rRNA from 1 species